rnacentral:lncRNA from 1 species
CUCCGUCCGGACUUCUACGGGAGCCGGGCUCCGUCCUCAACUUCAACUGCCAGUAAGCCUUGUCCGGACUCCCACGGGAGCCGGACUUCGCCUUUGAUUUUAAUUGCAGGAAGACUCCGUUCGGACUCCUACGGGAGCCGGACUCCGCCUACGACUUCGACCGCAAGUAGACUCGCCCGGACUUCUACGGGAGCCGGGCUCCAUCCUCAACUUCAACUGCCAGUAAGCCUUGUCCGGACUCCU